AAAACAUCGCCUCCUGCAACACAGCCAAGUAUAGGAGGUCCAGCCUGCCCAGUGACUACAAGUUUAACGGCCGCGGUAUUUUGACCGUGCAAAGGUAGCGCAAUCACUUGUCUUUUAAAUAGAGACCUGUAUGAAUGGCCAAACGAGGGCUUAACUGUCUCCCCUUUCCAGUCAGUGAAAUUGAUCUACCCGUGCAGAAGCGGGUAUAAUAAUACAAGACGAGAAGACCCUUUGGAGCUUAAGGUACAAAGCUCAACCACGUGAAACAACUCAAUAAAAAGCAAAAACUUUGUGGAAUAUGAAAUUUUACCUUCGGUUGGGGCGACCACGGAGGAAAAAGAAGCCUCCAAGUGGACUGGGAAUAUUCCCUAAAACUAAGAGAGACAUCUCUAAGCCACAGAACAUCUGACCAAACAUGAUCCGGCUAUAAAGCCGAUCAACGAACCAAGUUACCCUAGGGAUAACAGCGCAAUCCUCUCCCAGAGUCCAUAUCGACGAGGGGGUUUACGACCUCGAUGUUGGAUCAGGACAUCCUAAUGGUGCAGCCGCUAUUAAGGGUUCGUUUGUUCAACGAUUAAAGUCCUACGUGA
rnacentral:rRNA from 1 species